CACCGCGGUUAUACGAGAGACCCAAGCUGAUAGCCCCCGGCGUAAAGAGUGGUUAAGAAACCUAGAAACUAGAGCCAAACGACUUCAAAGCUGUUAUACGCGCAUGAAGAUACGAAACCCAAUUACGAAAGUGGCUUUAACACCCUGACCCCACGAAAGCUAUGAUA
rnacentral:rRNA from 1 species